rnacentral:rRNA from 1 species
AUUGAACGCUGGCGGCAGGCCUAACACAUGCAAGUCGAGCGGAUGAAGGGAGCUUGCUCCUGGAUUCAGCGGCGGACGGGUGAGUAAUGCCUAGGAAUCUGCCUGGUAGUGGGGGAUAACGUCCGGAAACGGGCGCUAAUACCGCAUACCUCCUGAGGGAGAAAGUGGGGGGUCUUCGGACCUCACGCUAUCAGAUGAGCCUAGGUCGGAUUAGCUAGUUGGUGGGGUAAAGGCCUACCAAGGCGACGAUCCGUAACUGGUCUGAGAGGAUGAUCAGUCACACUGGAACUGAGACACGGUCCAGACUCCUACGGGAGGCCGCAGUGGGGAAUAUUGGGCAAUGGGCGAAAGCCUGAUCCAGCCAUGCCGCGUGUGUGAAGAAGGUCUUCGGAUUGUAAAGCACUUUAAGUUGGGAGGAAGGGCAGUAAGUUAAGACCUUGCUGUUUUGACGUUACCAACAGAAUAAGCACCGGCUAACUUCGUG